GAUGAAGAACGUAGCGAAAUGCGAUAAGUAAUGUGAAUUGCAGAAUUCAGUGAAUCAUCGAAUCUUUGAACGCACAUUGCGCCCCUUGGUAUUCCGAGGGGCAUGCCUGCUCGAGCGUCAUUAUAACCCCUCAAGCUCAGCUUGGUGUUGGGGCCUGCUGCACUGGCAGCCCUUAAAAUCAGUGGCGGCGCCAUCUGGCUCUAAGCGUAGUAAUUCUUCUCGCUAUGGAGUCCUGGUGGAUGCUUGCCAUCAACCCCCAAUUUUUCUAUGGUUGACCUCGGAUCAGGUAGGGAUACCCGCUGAACUUAAGCAUAUCAAUAGCGGAGGA
rnacentral:misc_RNA from 1 species